rnacentral:tRNA from 1 species
GGAAGCGUGCCUGAAAGU